GACGAACGCUGGCGGCGUGCCUAAUACAUGCAAGUCGAGCGGACCAAAGGGAGCUUGCUCCUGGAGGUUAGCGGCGAACGGGUGAGUAACACGUGGGCAACCUGCCUGUAAGACUGGGAUAACAUCGAGAAAUCGGUGCUAAUACCGGAUAAUAAAAAGAACUGCAUGGUUCUUUUUGAAAGAUGGUUUCGGCUAUCACUUACAGAUGGCCGCGGCGCAUUAGCUAGUUGGUGAGGUAACGGCUCACCAAGGCAACGAUGCGUAGCCGACCUGAGAGGUGAUCGGCCACACUGGGACUGAGACACGGCCCAGACUCCUACGGGAGGCAGCAGUAGGGAAUCUUCCGCAAUGGACGAAAGUCUGACGGAGCAACGCCGCGUGAGUGAUGAAGGUUUUCGGAUCGUAAAAACU
rnacentral:rRNA from 1 species